rnacentral:misc_RNA from 1 species
UGGUUCUGGCAUCGAUGAAGAACGCAGCGAAAUGCGAUAAGUAAUGUGAAUUGCAGAAUUCAGUGAAUCAUCGAAUCUUUGAACGCACAUUGCGCCCAUUAGUAUUCUAGUGGGCAUGCCUGUUCGAGCGUCAUUUCAACCCUUAAGCCUAGCUUAGCGUUGGGAACUUACAGUCAAAUGUAAUUCCUGAAAUACAACGGCGGAUCUGUGGUAUCCUCUGAGCGUAGUAAAACUAUUUCUCGCUUCUGUCAGGUGCUGCAGCUCCCAGCCGCUAAACCCCCCAAUUUUUUUGUGGUUGACCUCGGAUCAGGUAGGAAUACCCGCUGA